GCAAACUUGGUCAUUUAGAGGAAGUAAAAGUCGUAACAAGGUUUCCGUAGGUGAACCUGCGGAAGGAUCAUUACAGAAAUAAACUUGAUAGAUUGCUGCUGGCUCUUAGGAGCAUGUGCACGUCUGUCAUUUUUAUAUUUCCACCUGUGCACUACAAUGUAGAUUUGGAUAUCCUUAACCAAGUUUCUUGGUGAUACGAAGAUUGCUGUGUGUUAACCUCACCAGCUGCUUCCAAGUUUCCAAAUCUAUGUUUCUUAUAUACCCCAAAUAAAGUUUAUGAAUGAAUAGAUGGCCUCUGUUAGCCAAUAAAUUAUACAACUUUCAGCAACGGAUCUCUUGGCUCUCGCAUCGAUGAAGAACGCAGC
rnacentral:misc_RNA from 1 species